GGCCUCCCUGUCCAUUACCAACUCCCGGAGUUCACUCAGACCCACGUCCAUCGAGUCAGUGAUCAAGUCAGGAUGAGAUGGCCAUCCAGCCAUCUCAUCCUCUGUCGUCCCCUUCUCCUCUUGCCCCCAAUCCCUCCCAGCAUCAGUCUUUUCCAAUGAGUCAACUCUUCACAUGAGGUGGCCAAAGUACUAGAGUUUCAGUUUUAGCAUCAUUCCUUCCAAAGAAAUCCCAGGGCUGAUCUCCUUCAGAAUGGACUGAUUGGAUCUCCUUGCAGUCCAGGGGACUCUCAAGAGUCUUCUCCAACACCACAGUUCAAAAGCAUCAAUUCUUUGGCGCUCAGCCUUCUUCACAGUCCAACUCACAUCCAUACAUGACCACAGGAAAAACCAUAGCCUUGACUAGACGAACCUUUGUUGGCAAAGUAAUGUCUCUCCUUUUGAAUAUGCUAUCUAGGUUGGUCAUAACUUUCCUUCCAAGGAGUAAGCGUCUUUUAAUUUCAUGGCUGCAGUCACCAUCUGCAGUGAUUUUGGAGCCCAGAAAAAUAAAGUCUGACACUGUUUCCACUGUUUCCCCAUCUAUUUCCCAUGAAGUGAUGGGACUGGAUGCCAUGAUCUUAGUUUUCUGAAUGUUGAGCUUUAAGCCAACUUUUUCACUCUCCACUUUCACUUUCAUCAAGAGGCUUUUUAGUUCCUCUUCACUUUCUGCCAUAAGGGUGGUGUCAUCUGCAUAUCUGAGGUGAUUGAUAUUUCUCCCGGCAAUCUUGAUUCCAGCUUGUGUUUCUUCCAGUCCAGCGUUUCUCAUGAUGUACUCUGCAUAUAAGUUAAAUAAACAGGGUGACAAUAUACAGCCUUGACGAACUCCUUUUCCUAUUUGGAACCAGUCUGUUGUUCCAUGUCCAGUUCUAACUGUUGCUUCCUGACCUGCAUACAAAUUUCUCAAGAGGCAGAUCAGGUGGUCUGGUGCUCCCAUCUCUUUCAGAAUUUUCCACAGUUGAUUGUGAUCCACAGAGUCAAAGGCUUUGGCACAGUCAAUAAAGCAGAAAUAGAUGUUUUUCCGGAACUCUCUUGCUUUUUCCAUGAUCCAGCAGAUGUUGGCAAUUUGAUUUCUGGUUCCUCUGCCUUUUCUAAAACCAGC
ensembl:lncRNA